rnacentral:SRP_RNA from 2 species
GGGGGCUGGUCGGGAGGCUAGAGGUCUCCUACUCGCGCCAAUCCUCUUCACGGCGGACGAACGCUUUCGAGAGGAUCGGGCGGGCUCGACUGACCCGGGAGUGCGGCGACGACGCUUUGCCUCGCGUUAUGCCUUGUUUUUCGAACCGAGCCAGGCCGGAAGGAGCAACUCUAAGGAAUGCAAGGCAUGCUCGCGGGAACCAAGGCCGAGCUUGCGCCCAGAUCAUCAGGCGGGCUAACCCGUUUCGAACGAAGGCCGCCCCC